GUAAGCUACUAAGAGCGAAUGGUGGAUGCCUUGACUGGUAAAGGCGAUGAAGGACGUACUAGACUGCGAUAAGCUACGGGGAGCUGUCAAGAAGCUUUGAUCCGUAGAUUUCCGAAUGGGGCAACCCAAUGUAUAGAGAUAUACAUUACCUAUAUAGGAGCGAACGAGGGGAAUUGAAACAUCUUAGUACCCUCAGGAAAAGAAAUCAAUAGAGAUUGCGUCAGUAGCGGCGAGCGAAAGCGCAAGAGGGCAAACCCAGUGCUUGCACUGGGGGUUGUAGGACUGCAAUGUGCAAGAGGUAAGUUUAGCAGAACAUUCUGGAAAGUAUAACCAUAGAGGGUGAUAGUCCCGUAUGCGAAAAACAAACCUUAGCUAGCAGUAUCCUGAGUAGGGCGGGACACGAGGAAUCCUGUCUGAAUCCGGGUCGACCACGAUCCAACCCUAAAUACUAAUACCAGAUCGAUAGUGCACAAGUACCGUGAGGGAAAGGUGAAAAGAACUGAGGUGAUCAGAGUGAAAUAGAACCUGAAACCAUUUGCUUACAAUCAUUCAGAGCCCUAUGUAGCAAUACAGGGUGAUGGACUGCCUUUUGCAUAAUGAGCCUGCGAGUUGUGGUGUCUGGCAAGGUUAAGCAAACGCGAAGCCGUAGCGAAAGCGAGUCUGAAUAGGGCGCUUAGUCAGAUGCUGCAGACCCGAAACGAAGUGAUCUAUCCAUGAGCAAGUUGAAGCUAGUGUAAGAACUAGUGGAGGACUGAACCCAUAGGCGUUGAAAAGCCCCGGGAUGACUUGUGGAUAGGGGUGAAAGGCCAAUCAAACUUCGUGAUAGCUGGUUCUCUCCGAAAUAUAUUUAGGUAUAGCGUUGUGUCGUAAUAUAAGGGGGUAGAGCACUGAAUGGGCUAGGGCAUACACCAAUGUACCAAACCCUAUCAAACUCCGAAUACCUUAUAUGUAAUCACAGCAGUCAGGCGGCGAGUGAUAAAAUCCGUCGUCAAGAGGGAAACAACCCAGACUACCAGCUAAGGUCCCUAAAUCUUACUUAAGUGGAAAACGAUGUGAAGUUACUUAAACAACCAGGAGGUUGGCUUAGAAGCAGCCAUCCUUUAAAGAAAGCGUAAUAGCUCACUGGUCUAGUGAUUUUGCGCGGAAAAUAUAACGGGGCUAAAGUAAGUACCGAAGCUGUAGACUUGCACACAACUUAGAUUAUUUAAGUUUAGAAUAUGAGAAACUAAGUUAUAUGUUUAGUUAUAUUUUUACUGAUUUUUAUAGAGUAAAGAUAGAAAUAAAACUUAGUAAAAUCAGUAAAAAUAUUCUUAGACUAAAGUUAAGUAGUUUAAGUUGUGUGCAAGUGGUAGGAGAGCGUUCUAUUUGCGUCGAAGGUAUACCGGUAAGGAGUGCUGGAGCGAAUAGAAGUGAGCAUGCAGGCAUGAGUAGCGAUAAUUAAUGUGAGAAUCAUUAACGCCGUAAACCCAAGGUUUCCUACGCGAUGCUCGUCAUCGUAGGGUUAGUCGGGUCCUAAGUCGAGUCCGAAAGGGGUAGACGAUGGCAAAUUGGUUAAUAUUCCAAUACCAACAUUAGUGUGCGAUGGAAGGACGCUUAGGGCUAAGGGGGCUAGCGGAUGGAAGUGCUAGUCUAAGGUCGUAGGAGGUUAUACAGGCAAAUCCGUAUAACAAUACUCCGAGAACUGAAAGGCUUUUUGAAGUCUUCGGAUGGAUAGAAGAACCCCUGAUGCCGUCGAGCCAAGAAAAGUUUCUAAGUUUAGCUAAUGUUGCCCGUACCGUAAACCGACACAGGUGGGUGGGAUGAGUAUUCUAAGGCGCGUGGAAGAACUCUCUUUAAGGAACUCUGCAAAAUAGCACCGUAUCUUCGGUAUAAGGUGUGGUUAGCUUUGUAUUAGGAUUUACUCCGAAAGCAAGGAAACUUACAACAAAGAGUCCCUCCCGACUGUUUACCAAAAACACAGCACUCUGCUAACUCGUAAGAGGAUGUAUAGGGUGUGACGCCUGCCCGGUGCUCGAAGGUUAAUUGAUGGGGUUAGCAUUAGCGAAGCUCUUGAUCGAAGCCCGAGUAAACGGCGGCCGUAACUAUAACGGUCCUAAGGUAGCGAAAUUCCUUGUCGGUUAAAUACCGACCUGCAUGAAUGGCGUAACGAGAUGGGAGCUGUCUCAAAGAGGAUCCAGUGAAAUUGUAGUGGAGGUGAAAAUUCCUCCUACCGCGGCAAGACGGAAAGACCCCGUGGACCUUUACUACAGCUUGACACUGCUACUUGGAUAAGAAUGUGCAGGAUAGGUGGGAGGCUUUGAGUAUAUGACGCCAGUUGUAUAUGAGCCAUUGUUGAGAUACCACUCUUUCUUAUUUGGUAGCUAACCAGCUUGAGUUAUCCUCAAGUGGGACAAUGUCUGGUGGGUAGUUUGACUGGGGCGGUCGCCUCCCAAAUAAUAACGGAGGCUUACAAAGGUUGGCUCAGAACGGUUGGAAAUCGUUCGUAGAGUAUAAAGGUAUAAGCCAGCUUAACUGCAAG
rnacentral:rRNA from 1 species